UACGUAGGUGGCAAGCGUUGUCCGGAAUUAUUGGGCGUAAAGCGCGCGCAGGCGGUCCCUUAAGUCUGAUGUGAAAGCCCACGGCUCAACCGUGGAGGGUCAUUGGAAACUGGGGGACUUGAGUGCAGAAGAGGAAAGUGGAAUUCCAUGUGUAGCGGUGAAAUGCGUAGAGAUGUGGAGGAACACCAGUGGCGAAGGCGACUUUCUGGUCUGUAACUGACGCUCAUGCACGAAAGCGUGGGGAGCAAACAGG
rnacentral:rRNA from 1 species